GUGACUGUAGCUCAGCUGGUUAGAGCGCCGGCCUGUGAAGCCGGAGGUCGCGGGUUCGAAACCCGUCAGUCACCCCA
rnacentral:tRNA from 1 species